rnacentral:lncRNA from 1 species
CCCGAAGUCUGAUCCAGAUUGACUAAGUCAGUCUGCGCUGGGUUCUCACUCUUACCUCUUCGCCUCCCCACGUGAUCCCUCAGGGACCCUCUGAGGACCUCCUGGAGCUAGAGUUACAGGUAGCUGUGUAUCCCCUGAGGUCGGUGAUGGAGACUGAACUCAGGUCUUCUGACAGAGCCGGAAAUGCUCUUAAUCACAAUGACAUCUCUCUCCUUCCCCAGAGGUGGCUUUUAAAUUUGAUUUUCUUAAACAUUUCUUCCUUAAUUAGUACAUACUUAUAUUUUGAAUAUAUGUAAAAAGAGAGAAAAAAAAAGAAAGAAAAGAAAAGUUACCUAUAACCCAUAUGACUCUUUGGUGUGUUUCCUUCCAGAUUUUUUCUCUAUGUGAAUAUUCAUCUAUAAAUAUACUUUGGUUUAACAGGGAAGGAUGAAAAGGAUACAUUUGAAAGAACAUAGGAGGUAAAAUGGUCCCGACUUGACCAUAGGUUGGGGAAAGCAAGGGGUGGAUAUUUUCAUUGCUCCUGUUUUGUGCGUUUUCUUCAGGGACAAUUGACAACAGGGAAGCUAUCGGGAUCAUUGUUGCUGCCCCCCACCCCCACCGCAGAUAUUUUGUUGUGGAAGAAUGACAAACAGGAUGCCUCUGGGGCAUGUUGAAUUACGCAGAGCCUUGGGAUGAUUCCACAGUGGAGUGGGUCAGUGACUGGUAGUUGUGUGAAUCUGGAACUUGGCGAAGACGUGGGCUGAGACGUCUCCUUCAACUGAAAGCUUCGCAGUUUGCUCUCAGCUG